AGUGAACGCUGGCGGCAGGCCUAACACAUGCAAGUCGAGCGGCAGCACGGCAAUAGCAAUAUUGUGGGUGGCGAGCGGCGGACGGGUGAGGAAUGCAUCGGGAUCUACCCUGUCGUGGGGGACAACGUAGGGAAACUUACGCUAAUACCGCAUGAUCUGGAGACAGCAAAGCCGGGGACCUUCGGGCCUGGCGCGAUGGGAUGAGCCGAUGUCCGAUUAGCUAGUUGGCGGGGUAAAGGCCCACCAAGGCGACGAUCGGUAGCUGGUCUGAGAGGACGACCAGCCACACUGGAACUGAGACACGGUCCAGACUCCUACGGGAGGCAGCAGUGGGGAAUAUUGGACAAUGGGGGCAACCCUGAUCCAACCAUGCCGCGUGGGUGAAGAAGGCCU
rnacentral:rRNA from 1 species